rnacentral:tRNA from 1 species
GUGGGUGUAGCUCAGCUAGGUAGAGCGCCAGAUUGUGGAUCUGGUGGCCAUGGGUUCGAUCCCCAUCACCCACCCCA